UACGUAGGGGGCUAGCGUUGUCCGGAAUCAUUGGGCGUAAAGAGCGUGUAGGCGGCCCGGUAAGUCCGCUGUGAAAGUCGGGGGCUCAACCCUCGAAUGCCGGUGGAUACUGUCGGGCUAGAGUGCGGAAGAGGCGAGUGGAAUUCCUGGUGUAGCGGUGAAAUGCGCAGAUAUCAGGAGGAACACCGGUGGCGAAGGCGGGUCUCUGGGCCGAAACUGACGCUGAGGCGCGAAAGCUAGGGGAGCGAACAGG
rnacentral:rRNA from 1 species